AAGGGGACUGAAAUCACCCAAAAGGGGCUUUCCACAUUGAAAUUCUCUUCUUCUGCUUCCUUUGAAGAGGACCGUAGGUAUAGCAUUAUUUCCACCUUUGUGGAAAUUUUAUCUUAAAAAGAGUCUUAUUAAAUAGUGUCCUGCUGGGAUUGACUUACAGAGAGGGGUUAUCUGAGCACUCCAGAGGGCUCUGAAAAUAGAAGAGGGAAAAAGCUUCAAUGAGGAAGAAAAUACACGUCUGCUUAUGAACGUUAAUGUGAAACAUCCCAGUGUGUUGGAGACACAGAUUUGUGGCCAUUGAACUCAUUUUCUCACUAAAAAUAUUCUAGUCAACUCCACAUAUUCUCCUCUCCUCACUUGUUUUUCCAAAAGCCUUCUAAAGAUUUUGUCUUUGAAACCAACUUUCUUUUCAUCUCCUGCUUUAUCAUCUUUGCUUUUGGGCUCAGUUUUUCUUUCUUAGUUUCAUUUUUUUGUGAGGCUGCCUCACAUGUAACCACUGCUGUGUCUGCCACUGAAAACACACACUGGUUGUGGAGGAAUCUCCAAGUACAAACUGUUGAGAACUUUUAUUUUCAUUUUAUUUCAUGUUCAACAGCUUGGGGAUCCCUUACUGAUCCCUGACCAUAUCAGUGUCCAAAGAGAUUGUACAAGCACUGCAUCAGAGAUAAGUUCAAUGCUAAUUUAGAGGCUCUGAUUGUGUCCUCUAGAUUCAGCUGCCACUCCCCACUGACCCAUGUGUGAGCCAAAGGGAAUAAAAGCUGGACAGGAAGGUGAUCCAGCCCGUGCCAUCAUUUGUCCUCUGCUACACUGGGAUGUCCAGGUGUAGAGGAACUCUGUGUGUCCUUCCCUUUAUCACUGGGGAGCCAGCAAACAGAGAAAAUACUGAUUUAUUUAAAAAGCCUUUCCCAGGCAGAGAUUGGCAACUGAAGAAAACAAAACCCAUGAUCACUUCUGCAUCCUUCAGUUAACCUCAAGAACAGAUUCCUCAUGUGGGAUGCUGUUCAGGGAGCUGCACCAAAGAGGAGAUUUCACUACAGAGCAAUCCCACCAGUGGGACUGGCCCUUGGUCAGUGUUAAGCCUGAAGUUAGCAUAAAACUGAAGAAAAGAGGGGUAAAAAUGCAACCACACUGCAGUGAUGAAGCUGCCAAUGCCAGAGCAGUGGAAUACAUCCCUUUUAGGGAUGGCUUCUUCCUUUUUAGGGAUGGUUUCUUCCCUUUCAGGGAUCAUUUCUUCCUGAGCUCACCAAUUCAGACAUCCUGGCCUGGUGACCUUGCAGAGAAACACCAUUUCCAUUUAAUAGAUCCCCAGGAUGUUCCCCAAGCUCCAGCCACCCCUUCUGCAGCACUCAGUGCUUGAAAAGCAGCUCAGGACCCCUGGCCUGUGCUGCAGAUGAACCAGAGCUUGUUUUUAACCAGCACAGCAGCACUGCACAUGGCUCUGUGAUGCUCUGUGCUUCUCAUUAGUGAUGGUGAAACCAAAUGCACCUUCUGGUGUGAGGGGAGGUGGAGGAAAGACAAUGUUAUUUCUGAAUCAAAUUCUUAUUUUUGCCUUUUUAUAAUUAAUUAAGAACACAGUCUCACUGGAGGCUGAAAAGCUUUGGCUGCAGUUUGCAUGGACAUACUGUAUGUGUCUGCCUGUCCAAAUAUUUCACCCUUACAUUUACAGUAUCUGGGCCUAUAAAAAUGAUGGCAAAAAGCCUAUUGAUUUCAUCUGAACAGGAGCCAGAAGAAGCUGAUUUUACCUGGACAGUGUUCUCUCACAGAUGUGGCUCAGUAAGAACUCAUGUUGUUGAAUUCAACAUAAAGCUAUGAACGCACAAUAAAAAAAAAAAAAAAAUCACAGUUCUGAGUCUUUUAUUUUCCUCUCUGCUUAAUCAACAGGAACAGAGAGAAGAUAACCUGUAAUAAAAGAUUUUUACCAUUUCUCCUGCACUUCUUUGUUGAGAUGAAACCACCUUUCACUCUGCAGGAGGGAGAGGGUAACACAGCACCCUAUCACUAUUAAUGAGACAUUUCCUUUGGUGAUGCUUUCACCACACCACUUUUGUAACUCUUGAAACACAAUCUGGACUGGAAAGCCUGGUGGAGUAGAAAGGUUGUUGUUCUGUAGGAAAGGAGAGUGAGGUACAAUUUCAGCCCUGGGGUACCAGAGCUUAUCUCAGGUGAUACCAGCAGAGGAGAUGUUGCUGUAAUUUCCUCGAAUGAAGUAAUUGGCAGAGGCACAUUAAUUAAUCACUGCAAUAACAACCUGCAGUGUGUGCAGCCACAGGGAAGCUGUGAGUGUGAGAGGAGACAGACAAGAGCUCUCCAGUUCUGUCCUGGAAAAUCCCAGAGGUCCCUGGGAGAUUCUGGGUACUCCCACAUCCCUCAGGAGGAGAAUUUUCAGGGUUCCAUGGAGGAUCUCGUGCCCCAGUCAACCUCGUACAUCAGGCUGAAUGGGAACUCUCCUCAGAGUUCAGAGAGCUCUGAACAUAAACUGGGGAUGUCUUUUCCUCCUUUCCCUUAAAGAGAGUGGAAGGGCAGAUCUGCCUGCGGAUUCAAAUCCAGAAAUUUGGGCCUAUCUGUGAAUUCAAUCCUUAGAACACGAAAAGUGCUCUGUUUAAUGAGAAAGUGGACUCUGUUUGUAUUCCAGCUCCCAAACCCCUGAUUCCAUCUAGACCACAUUUCCCUCACAAAGAACCUUUCAAAAUCAAAGAAUUUCAAAAAUCGCUGCUAUGAGUGGUCUGAGAAUCUGCAUAGUAAAGAAGUCCCCAAAUGAUCUGUCCUCAUUGCAGACUUGUUUGUGAGCUUGAAUUUCUUCCUCCAGCAAUGGGUCAAUUUUCACAUGCAUACAAAAAGAUCUUUUGUUUUCCCAAGUAUGUGUGAAUUUUGUGGAAUUCUUUUAGGAUACAGAAAAGCAUAUCUUUAUUUUUAACGUCUAACGUAACAGAGCCAGUUGUUUUGAAAACAUCCUCGCCUCUAACGUGUUCUUCAUUAGGAGAAUGUACUCCCAAACUGAAAUCAGUACCAGUUUUCAGUAAACCAUCCAGCAUGUUCUUGCCUUGACACCUGUUGGCGCAAAUGAUGUAGUGAAAUGUGAAUUUGGAGGAAUUAUUUGUGUAUAUUUGAGAGGAGUUGUAACUGGGUAGUAAUUCUGGCAACCUGCUCGUGCAGGCAGAGCUGCACAAAGACUGAACCCAGCCAAAGGGAGCACUGUGAUUAUUGCUGGGUCACUCUUGCAGGUCAGACUUACAAGUUGCAACCAAAUGAAAGAAAGAAGUGUCAGACUGGCACAGAAAUGUCACCAGGAGCAGCCCUGGGAGCAGUUAAGCCUAGGAAGGAAGUUUGCAGUGAAAGAUGUUCUGUUGUUUGCUGGGAUUUACAUUUCCAGUGAAGAUAAACCCCAGGAGGAUUUUGGCCUGUGUGAGGUGUUUGCAAGCUGCUGAAAGCAGAAUGGGGAACUUGCUCCACUAAGCAGAUUUUAAACUCACCAAAAAAUAUCUUUGGAAGAGGACUCUGAGAGGUGUGCACUGAUAUUAGGGAUGGUUGCAUUACCUGGGCAAUAAUUAAUUGGCAGUUGCCCUAAUUGGAUUCUUCUGAGCUCAGUUUGACCUUUAUUCACUAUCAUUUUGCCCAGGAUUUGCCGUGCAGAGUGACCAGUGAGCAGCUCCUCCCCUGGCCUGGUGUGCUGCCCCAGGGAUGGUUAAUCUGUCUUCAGCCUUUUGCCACUUGUUCUUGGUCUGUCCUGCUGUGCUCAGCAGACACCAGUUCAGCCUCCAGUAAAAUUCAUCUUCUCUCCUUACCCCCAGCCUGGGUCCCAGUUACAGCCUGGUGUCCCACCCCAGCAGGUUUUAAUUGGAUAAAAUUGUGAGUUGGAUCUCCUCUACAUCCCAGGUUUAACAAAUUUGCCUCACCUUGGGAAGCAGAUUAUCCAGGACUACCUGAUUUCAGGGUGAGUCUUUGCCCUGCUUUUGUGAGAACUGAGGCAGGUCCAUAAAACCAUUUCUGAGAGGGAUUCCAUGAAAAAUGUAUUUUAUAAAUGUGGGGAGGGCUUUCUUCAAUGCCCACUCUGCAGAAUCCAGCUGAUUCUGAAAUUAAAACUGCAAGUGCACUCGUGCCCAAACAGAGGAGAAUUAAUUACAUGUGCCACAAAGUAAAUAUAAUUACUCAGCCUUCUCAACUAGACACUUAUCCAGAUGACUCCUGGGUGAUGAUCUGUGGGCAUCAGCCACGAUUUCACAUCAGCACCACCAAGACACCUUGCAAGGAAUGAACAGUAUCCCCCUAGCAGUGGCCAGAUGGGUUCUGCUCCCAGCCACUCUUAAAUAUCCUCUUAGCUGACUGGGCCACCUCUUGUGCCAGAUUUGUACCCUCAGAGUGCAAUCUGGGUCACUGCUAUUAAUAACUGUGUUUUAUUCCGUUCUCUCAGGGUGCUCCUCAGUUCCUGACAGCGGCUCUUACCCAGCACGGUGUCUCCUCAAGCCUGGCCCCAAGGAGGGAAGAUGCUUUUGAUUAUCUGCAAGGUCACAGGCAUAAAAAGAAGAAAACAGUUCUGCUUUUAUCUCACUCCACUCAGAGGGAUUCAGUUGCAUAUCAAGAACAACUCAAAGUACUUGUCAAGAGAAUUUCUUCUGGACAGGAGAUCACCAUUGCUGUGACGUUCAGAAAUGCUUUGCAGGGGUUUAUGGACAAGGUUGCUCAGUAAAAGUGCAUCAAGCACCA